rnacentral:rRNA from 1 species
GAUGAACGCUGGCGGCGUGCCUAAUACAUGCAAGUCGAGCGAACGGACGAGCAGCUUGCUUCUCUGAUGUUAGCGGCGGACGGGUGAGUAACACGUGGAUAACCUACCUAUAAGACUGGGAUAACUUCGGGAAACCGGUACUAAUACCGGAUGAUAUUUUGAACCGCAUGGUUCAAAAGUGAAAGACGGUCUUGCUGUCACUUAUAGAUGGAUCCGCGCUGCAUUAGCUAGUUGGUAAGGUAACGGCUUACCAAGGCAACGAUGCAUAGCCGACCUGAGAGGGUGAGCGGCCACCCUGGAACUGUGACCCGGUCCAGACGCCUACGGGAGGCACCAGUAGGGAAUCUUCCGCAAUGGGCGAAAGCCUGACGGAGCAACGCCGCGUGAGUGAUGAAGGUCGUCGGAUCGUAAAACUCUGUUAUUAGGGAAGAACAUAUGUGUAAGUAACUGUGCACAUCUUGACGGUACCUAAUCAGAAAGCCACGGCUAACUACGUG